GCAACGCAAGCAAAUCUUCAUCGGGUGUGACAACCACUUGAGCAAUUUUUCUUGCUGUGGUUGUCACACCUGAUGAAGAUUGCUUGCGU
rnacentral:miRNA from 1 species